rnacentral:rRNA from 1 species
GACGAACCACCCAAACGUUAUUCGGAAUUACUGGGCGUAAAGGGCCAGUAGGCGGCCAACUAAGUCCGACGUGAAAUCCCAAGGCUUAACCUUGGAACUGCGUCGGAUACUGGAUGGCUUGAAUUCGGGAGAGGGAUGCGGAAUUCCAGGUGUAGCGGUGAAAUGCGUAGAUAUCUGGAGGAACACCGGUGGCGAAGGCGGCAUCCUGGACCGACACUGACACUGAGGAGCGAAAGCCAGGGGAGCAAACGGG